ensembl:lncRNA
CCUGGGUCUGGAUUCACAGGGUACGGGGGUGGAGGUGGAGUCCUUCCCAGGGCCUGGAGGUGGAGGUAAGGAGGCCGGGGCUUCUGCGGGGAGGUCUGGAAAUAUAGCUGUGGAAGUGGUGGUGUCCUCCUGACUCUCAAGGAGUGGAAGUGGGUUGGCCGGGGCUGGUGCUGGGUUGGCCGGGGCUGGUGCUGGGUUGGCCGGAGCUGGUGCUGGGUUGGCAGGGGCUGGUACUGGGUUGGCCGGGGCUGGUGCUGGGUUGGCCGGGGCUGGUGCUGGGUUGGCCGGGGCUGGUGGGGCCUGGGCGGGUAAGGCUGGUUCUGGGGAUGGUGGUAAGGGUGGUUCUUGGGGGUCGGCUGGGGCUGCUAGUGGGGCCUGGGGGAUGCAGGUGGGGGUUUCUGGGGCUCAGCAGGCUCAGGGCCUAGCCUCUCUGGAGGAGUGGGUGGAGGAGGGGAGAAGUCUUCCUGGAGGUAGGUAGGGAGGGCAGGAGAGAACUGGAAGACUUCUCCAGGAGACGUGGGAGGAGGGGAUGGGGAGGAGGCAGGAGGAGGGGAUGGGGAGGAGGCAGGAGGAGGGGGUGGGGAGGAGGCAGGAGGAGGGGAUGGGGAGGAGGCAGGAGGAGGGGAUGGGGAGGAGGCAGGGGGAGGGGGUAGGGAAGAGGAGGUGACAAGGGGAGGCUCACUUCUCUCCUCAGUCAGGGAGGACCUGGAAAGGGACGGAGACAAGACAGGGUUAACAAACAUACACACAAAUAUAUACAUAUCAUUGUUGGUUGUUUGGUAUAUUAUGGUUUGGUACUAUACCAAAUAACCAUACACAACAACCAUAUUCUACCC